rnacentral:sRNA from 1 species
UUCUAUUUCUUCAUCUGUAAAAUGGGGAUUGUAAUAUUUACUUUCCAGGGUCAUAGGAAUAAGAGAGUUAAAGGAUGUAAAGUCCAGAACUAGUGCUGUCUUUUAGAUCAUGGUAACAUCAGUUUGUAAAAGAAACGAAUACCACCUUGUGUGGUUUCCACGACAGGAAACCAUCUAGUCCCUGCUGGUGUGACGGUAGGAAUGGGCUUGUCCAUCAUUCCCAGGAACUCAGACAGGUGGACCUGACCUUUUAUUCCUUGGGGGUUUCUCGUAGUCUUGGGACAUCAGCCCAGUGCCUUGGAACCUUAACUCAUCUGACUCAGAAAAAUGCUCAUGGCAAGAUCAUCAUUCUGUAUGACGAUGAUGAAAGGCUGGCCAGUCAGGCGGCCACCACCAUGUGCGAGCGUGGAUUUGAAAACCUCUUCAUGCUUUCCGGAGGUCUAAAAGUCUUAGCUCAGAAAUUCCCGGAAGGACUGAUUACUGGUUCCCUGCCAGCAUCUUGCCAGCAGGCCCUUCCUCUUGGGUCUGCCCGGAAACGAUCCAGCCCCAAAGGGCCACCCCUACCAGCUGAGAAUAAAUGGAGAUUUACCCCAGAAGACUUAAAAAAGAUAGAAUAUUAUCUGGAAGAGGAGCAAGGGCCUGCAGAUCAUCCUAGCCGACUGAACCAAGCUAACUCCUCUGGAAGAGAGUCCAAGGUGCCUGGUGCCCGAAGCGCUCAGAAUCUGCCUGGUGGCGGCCCUGCCAGCCACUCAAACCCCCGCUCCCUCAGCAGUGGCCACCGGCAAGGCAAACCCUGGAAGUAAAGACUUUGUCUCACUUAGGCGAAUAAAUGUUUUUCCUCUUUUCGGAACCCCUGAGCAUUUCCCAAGUUGGGUCAUUUCCAGAAACUUCUGCAGAGGAAAGACCAUGACAUAUGUAUGGGAUAGGCCCUCUUCCCUCUCCCUGUCUCCAGUUCCUCUCCCCUCAGGAGGCCACCUCGGGAAGGAUUUUGACAGGUGACCACAAAAACCAGAGGUGUGACAGGCUCUAGUGUCCUCCCUGUUGUUUACAGCAUAUUUAAGUCUUGUGAAACUGUAUAGGAAAAAAGGAUCUAAGAUUUUAGUUGUUUUUUUUUUUAAUAAGGUCCAGCUUUUUGGGUCUCUCUUCGUUGUUUUGUAAAUACUUCAGUCACAUCUGCCUGUGUGCCUGUCCCACCCGCCUUUUCGUUCACUGUUCUUGACUUCAUGAAGGCUUCUCUGGGCAGUCUUGGUAUGAGAAGCUGUUUCCAAGGGUGCAGAUGAGCCUUAUGUUCCAGCCACCUGCAGACCCCACCCCAGCAGGCUCACUCAGCAAGGAGCUCUCUGCCCGGCAUAUUGCAGGCCCUAUUUUGAGUAUGGAAGCCAGUGCCUGUGUGCUCACUCAAAUUGAAGAUGAGGAGAGUAGCUGUACACUCACUGAAUGCUCCCCCUUAUUAGAUAUUUUCCUGGAGCCAGAAAGGUGUGCAUGUGGGUGUCUUCCCACCGGGGAGGAGGGCCUCUCCUGGGAAAGCCCUGGCCACCACACCGGCCUGUGACCCUUGAAGCCCACCAAAGCGGCCCUCACUUGUGGUCAGUAUAUCAGUUAUGACGCCCAUUGCCCAGCUUCAGUCCAUCCAUGUUAGAUGGAUAGAAAUUAUGGCCAGUUGAAAAUACCAGCUUCGGUUGGACAACUGUGGACACACAAGGUGAAGAGGACUCUGAAGUCCUUUGUCAGGGCUGACAACCUCAUAAGCCCUUGCUUAGAAAUACAGUAUUAGUCUAAUUGAGUAAUUAGUGCAAUUUCCUGCUUACUUUUCAUUUUCAUGACUGAACUGUGAUUAGGAAGUUGUGAUUAUAGAUUCUGGUUUUGGCCGGAAUUUUGAAUCAGCAUUAAUUGAAUUGCUAAAUGACUGACAUUCAUUCCAUUUAAUUGGGGGAACAAAAGGCCUCAGGUAAGGAUGAGGAACUCUGAAAUCAGAUGGAAAAGAGCCGUGUUAAUUUUUAUGGUCUGUGAUCAUAGCUGUGAUAAGGGACUGAGGAAUAAAUUGUGCUCUUUGUCAUGGCAACCAGCUUCUGAACAGCCAACUGAAAAUUGCUUGUCCUGCUGGUAACUGCUACGGGGUAAGAUUUGCCUUAACAGUACUAUUUUCUUGCCACCAAAAAAAAAAAAAAAAAA